UUGUGUACUCUAACGCCUGAGCUGUGUGUGAGGACGCUGGAUGAAUUCACAUGCAGUCUGUGCAUAUGCUAAACCAUUUGCACUCAGAGGUACUAUGCUACGACUGAUUCUCUGAAGAGACAGGGGCAGUAAAGUCUUCAUGGGGAAUGUUGUGUGGUAACAAGUAAUAGAGCUCUUAAGACCUUGUUGUGGUAAGCCUUCCUCUGCCCUCAAUCUGCCAUGGGCACCAAGCUUCUGGGCUGGGCACUGUUCUGUCUCCUUGACACAGUACUGUCUGAAGCUGGAGUCACCCAGUCUCCCAGAUAUGCAAUCAUACAGGAAAGACAGGCUGUUUCCUUUUGGUGUGACCCUAUUUCUGGACAUGACACCCUUUACUGGUAUCAGCAGCUAGGAGACCAGGGGCCUGAGCUUCUAGUCUACUUUAGGGAUGAGACUGUUAUAGAUAAUUCACAGUUGCCCGUGGAUCGUUUUUCUGCUGUGAGGCCUAAAGGAAUUGACUCCACUCUUAAGAUCCAGUCGGCAAAGCAGGGUGACUCAGCCACCUUUCUCUGUGCCAGCAGCUUAGCCACAGCAGUGCAUAGACAAAUCCCUGCUGUGCUCAAAGUUGAUGGUUUUCUUCAAGCCAGCUUUCAGUAA